rnacentral:rRNA from 1 species
GGUUAAGCGACUAAGCGUACACGGUGGAUGCCCUGGCAGUCAGAGGCGAUGAAGGACGUGCUAAUCUGCGAUAAGCGUCGGUAAGGUGAUAUGAACCGUUAUAACCGGCGAUUUCCGAAUGGGGAAACCCAGUGUGUUUCGACACACUAUCAUUAACUGAAUCCAUAGGUUAAUGAGGCGAACCGGGGAACUGAAACAUCUAAGUACCCCGAGGAAAAGAAAUCAACCGAGAUUCCCCCAGUAGCGGCGAGCGAACGGGGAGCAGCCCAGAGCCUGAAUCAGUGUGUGUGUUAGUGGAAGCGUCUGGAAAGGCGCGCGAUACAGGGUGACAGCCCCGUACACAAAAAUGCACAUAUUGUGAGCUCGAUGAGUAGGGCGGGACACGUGGUAUCCUGUCUGAAUAUGGGGGACCAUCCUCCAAGGCUAAAUACUCCUGACUGACCGAUAGUGAACCAGUACCGUGAGGGAAAGGCGAAAAGAACCCCGGCGAGGGGAGUGAAAAAGAACCUGAAACCGUGUACGUACAAGCAGUGGGAGCCUCUUUAUGGGGUGACUGCGUACCUUUUGUAUAAUGGGUCAGCGACUUAUAUUCUGUAGCAAGGUUAACCGAAUAGGGAGCCGAAGGGAAACCGAGUCUUAACUGGGCGUUAAGUUGCAGGGUAUAGACCCGAAACCCGGUGAUCUAGCCAUGGGCAGGUUGAAGGUUGGGUAACACUAACUGGAGGACCGAACCGACUAAUGUUGAAAAAUUAGCGGAUGACUUGUGGCUGGGGGUGAAAGGCCAAUCAAACCGGGAGAUAGCUGGUUCUCCCCGAAAGCUAUUUAGGUAGCGCCUCGUGAAUUCAUCUCCGGGGUAGAGCACUGUUUCGGCAAGGGGUCAUCCCGACUUACCAACCCGAUGCAAACUGCGAAUACCGGAGAAUGUUAUCACGGGAGACACACGGCGGGUGCUAACGUCCGUCGUGAAGAGGGAAACAACCCAGACCGCCAGCUAAGGUCCCAAAGUCAUGGUUAAGUGGGAAACGAUGUGGGAAGGCCCAGACAGCCAGGAUGUUGGCUUAGAAGCAGCCAUCAUUUAAAGAAAGCGUAAUAGCUCACUGGUCGAGUCGGCCUGCGCGGAAGAUGUAACGGGGCUAAACCAUGCACCGAAGCUGCGGCAGCGACACUAUGUGUUGUUGGGUAGGGGAGCGUUCUGUAAGCCUGUGAAGGUGUACUGUGAGGUAUGCUGGAGGUAUCAGAAGUGCGAAUGCUGACAUAAGUAACGAUAAAGCGGGUGAAAAGCCCGCUCGCCGGAAGACCAAGGGUUCCUGUCCAACGUUAAUCGGGGCAGGGUGAGUCGACCCCUAAGGCGAGGCCGAAAGGCGUAGUCGAUGGGAAACAGGUUAAUAUUCCUGUACUUGGUGUUACUGCGAAGGGGGACGGAGAAGGCUAUGUUGGCCGGGCGACGGUUGUCCCGGUUUAAGCGUGUAGGCUGGUUUUCCAGGCAAAUCCGGAAAAUCAAGGCUGAGGCGUGAUGACGAGGCACUACGGUGCUGAAGCAACAAAUGCCCUGCUUCCAGGAAAAGCCUCUAAGCAUCAGGUAACAUCAAAUCGUACCCCAAACCGACACAGGUGGUCAGGUAGAGAAUACCAAGGCGCUUGAGAGAACUCGGGUGAAGGAACUAGGCAAAAUGGUGCCGUAACUUCGGGAGAAGGCACGCUGAUAUGUAGGUGAAGUCCCUCGCGGAUGGAGCUGAAAUCAGUCGAAGAUACCAGCUGGCUGCAACUGUUUAUUAAAAACACAGCACUGUGCAAACACGAAAGUGGACGUAUACGGUGUGACGCCUGCCCGGUGCCGGAAGGUUAAUUGAUGGGGUCAGCGCAAGCGAAGCUCUUGAUCGAAGCCCCGGUAAACGGCGGCCGUAACUAUAACGGUCCUAAGGUAGCGAAAUUCCUUGUCGGGUAAGUUCCGACCUGCACGAAUGGCGUAAUGAUGGCCAGGCUGUCUCCACCCGAGACUCAGUGAAAUUGAACUCGCUGUGAAGAUGCAGUGUACCCGCGGCAAGACGGAAAGACCCCGUGAACCUUUACUAUAGCUUGACACUGAACAUUGAGCCUUGAUGUGUAGGAUAGGUGGGAGGCUUAGAAGUGUGGACGCCAGUCUGCAUGGAGCCGACCUUGAAAUACCACCCUUUAAUGUUUGAUGUUCUAACGUUGACCCGUGAUCCGGGUUGCGGACAGUGUCUGGUGGGUAGUUUGACUGGGGCGGUCUCCUCCUAAAGAGUAACGGAGGAGCACGAAGGUUGGCUAAUCCUGGUCGGACAUCAGGAGGUUAGUGCAAUGGCAUAAGCCAGCUUGACUGCGAGCGUGACGGCGCGAGCAGGUGCGAAAGCAGGUCAUAGUGAUCCGGUGGUUCUGAAUGGAAGGGCCAUCGCUCAACGGAUAAAAGGUACUCCGGGGAUAACAGGCUGAUACCGCCCAAGAGUUCAUAUCGACGGCGGUGUUUGGCACCUCGAUGUCGGCUCAUCACAUCCUGGGGCUGAAGUAGGUCCCAAGGGUAUGGCUGUUCGCCAUUUAAAGUGGUACGCGAGCUGGGUUUAGAACGUCGUGAGACAGUUCGGUCCCUAUCUGCCGUGGGCGCUGGAGAACUGAGGGGGCUGCUCCUAGUACGAGAGGACCGGAGUGGACGCAUCACUGGUGUUCGGGUUGUCAUGCCAAUGGCACUGCCCGGUAGCUAAAUGCGGAAGAGAUAAGUGCUGAAAGCAUCUAAGCACGAAACUUGCCCCGAGAUGAGUUCUCCCUGACUCCUUGAGAGUCCUGAAGGAACGUUGAAGACGACGACGUUGAUAGGCCGGGUGUGUAAGCGCAGCGAUGCGUUGAGCUAACCGGUACUAAUGAACCGUGAGGCUUAACCUU